AUGGGUCCUGAUGUAAGGGAUCCAAGGAUUUUUAAAUGCGUCGCAAAUGGUGUCGCUGAUAAUAAUAUAGCGCCUAAAUGUUGUUUUAAGUUUUCAAUUAGGCGCUUUAUUUUUCAGACGAAAAAGAACGUGCGCGCCUUUCAUUCUUCUCUCCCUCCACCUUCUCAUCUUUCAUAUUCGACUGAAAAAUGAGAGCCCUAAUCCAUCCAAUCAGAGAUUUUGGGAGAAUCAUCGGAAAUUAUGGACCACAAUCGGAGAUCCUGAAGCGCAAUCGAAAAUUUCCGAUUAAAGCUUAGAGUUUUACGCUAGCAGCAGAUAGAUGUUGGCGGAGAAUCGCAGCGGCGGUGCCAACAAUAUUGGUGGCGAUAAGGAAGAGGAGCAGGAGCUCUCGUUUUUAACCGUGCCCAGUUGUUAGUUUUGCUAUUUUUGCCAUAUUUUUUGGUUAAUUUUGGCAAACUUUGUCUAAAUUUGAAUUGUGUAAUUCCUGAAAAGUUUAAUAUACUCGGAUAAACUUGUGAAAAUUAGCACUUUGAAAGCCCGUUUGAUCAAGUCGUUAAUAUGAGUAUUUGAAAUGUAUCAGUUGCACCUGCACAUAAUUUUAGUAAUUAGUUCAUGGGAAUGGAAUUGCCUAAUAGGUUAAGACAUGGGUUUCUCAUGGAUUGCCUAUUAGAUGCUGUUUGAAAACUGAAUUGUCGAAACUUGAAAGUUUUGAAUCACCUUUUAGCAUAUUAUUAGGAGUUGAACUCUAAGUUCUUGAUCAUGUGAUCCUCUAUGUUCGGUUGAUGAAACGAGCUCGCAAGAAUUUGAGGCCAGUUACCGGCCAAAGCCUGAUUUGCUAAAAGCUAUUGCAGUAUUUGCAGCAGCUGGAACUGGGUAGUGGCAAUUAACCAAUCCUGGGUUGCUGCCAAUUAGAUAACAUUUUAUUUCCAGCAUGGUUGUUGAAAAGUGCCUUUCCCAUGAUUUCGAGUUGCCUUGGCACUGCGGUUUGGAAUAGGAUGCGUGGGCAUCAUUUUUGAAGAAUCGCUGGCCAUGAACAAAAGUGGAGUAGGUUUGUUAAUGGUUGUCUACAUUUGUUUGUGAUGCAGGGUGGAUGAGCUUAAAAUCUUGACCGAGGAAUAUUUAGUCGAUAUGGCUAUCAAGGAAGCAUUUAAGGUGCACUUGUACUCUCCCACUUGUGCAUAGUUCUUUCUUUGUGAUUUGAAGAAGCUUUGAUAACUCAUACAUUGUGUUUAUGGGUAUCAAAAUGAUUCUUAAACAUUAGAUAUGAAACUAAAUUAACGUGUGUAAAAGUUAUGGAAUACCCGAGCAUUGUUGGGUUUGUUGGGUCACCAGCAACUCUAAAUAUAUGUUAUGGAAUGCAACUUCACAUGGUAGUUUAUACAAUUAGUUUUUAGAGUAAGACCAAUGAUAAAUUGAAGAAAGAUAUACAAACAUUACUUAAAUAUUACACGUUUUGCUUUUUAUGACGCAAAUGUACUAAUUAAGUUUACACAAUCUAAUCAACCAAUUCUUUUUGUAAUUCAUAAAAUAGCUUACUCAUUCAAUAGUUCUUGUGACAUAGUUGAUUGAAGAAAAGAUUUGAUCAACGUUAAUUUUGAAAAACUUCUUUUUGCAGAGGCAAUGGUAACUGGUAUGGUUAACAAAAUUCUAUAAGCAAAUAAUCAAUGGCUCAAAGUCGGUAAACUUCUUAUUUGAAUGGACAAAGUUUGUAAUAUUAGUUUAUAUAUAAGGUAAUGAUAGGGAAACCAAAAUAUUAAACCAAUUUGCAAACCAAAUAUGUGGUUGUUGAUGAUUAGAUUAUCACGUAAGUGUUGAUUAACGUGCGUAUUUCAUAUUGGUGACAUAUCAUUUGAUUUUCAAAUUUGGUUUAAAAUUUUGGAUAACUAAUGAAAAAGGCUUUAAAACUUUGAGUUUUAAUUAAAAGGAUAAAAAGGUGUUGUAAGUGAAUAGUGCCGGGAGUGACUUGUUAGAGUAAAAUUGUCAUUUUUCGUUAAAGUGAACAAUACCGGGAGUGUUUCAUUAAAACUCCUUUAAAAUUUUGAUAUCCCUAACAUUAUCCCCAUAUAUAUAUAUAUAUAUACAUAUGUAUGUAUGUAUAAUUUGGGAACCCCUCCGAAGUGGGGUCCUAGACUGCCCCGCCUACUCCAGCUACCCUCAGGAGCGGUCGUGGGCUUAUCAGCCAUGUAUGCUCGUUGUUCACUUGCUUGCGCAUGCCUUUUCUUCUUCUUCCCAUCUAUGUUGGCGUUUUUUCAUAAGGGCUACUCAAAGACUUGUUGGCAUGUGCAAGCAAGGAAACUACUCAAAGGUUUUUUCAUAUGGACUGUUCUCUUUACUUUGUAACGGCAAUCUAAAACUUUCAAACAGUUGGUUGGUGACUUGAAGGCAUCUUAUGUUUCUCAGAUUGAACUCAGCAUGCAAUCUGACAUCUGUAGGAGGAACUGGAAUAAGCCUGGCCUAAAAUCUGGCAUACGGUCACAUUAUUGGUAGGAAUAAACACCCCCAGUUGUGUCCUAGGAACAAGCACUCAAUGAUGCUAAUUUCCUCAUACACAUGUCAGAUUGCAUACUGGUUUUGGUUUUAGAAGCAUAAGACAUUUAACAUAUUGAAAGUUUAGGGUUUAGGGCUACCAAAUCCCUGUUGUACGUCGUCGUUUUCUAAGGCAUCGAAACUUUUGUCCUUCGAAUUCGUGGUUUUCUGAUUCUUCCAGGCGCUACUCACGUGUACGGCAGCCUGAGCGCGUGGAGGUCUCGAUUGAUUCCAUGGUCUAAUUUUCCGCGAAUCGCAAUCCGACGGUGGCGAUUGCAUCGGUGUAGAACCAAUCGACAAAAGUGGAUCUCUUCAAUGCGUAUUUUCGACGAGCCAGUUUGGAACGCAAUGGCCAGAUUAGUGGCAAUGAAGCAGUCGCUUUCUUCCAGGGCUCCGGUCUCCCCAAACAGAUUUCGGCACGUGCAGACCCGGGGCAGACUAGUUUCCUUGGUCAGGCAGAGUUUUACAAUGCCCUUAGAAUUGUCACUGUGGCACAAGUAAGAGAGAACUUACGCCAGAAAUGGUGAAGGCAGCAUGAUAUGGCCCGGCUGAAGCUAGAAUACCUGCACCCAAGAUAAAUCUUGCAGCAACACCCGACUCAUCGUUUGGAGAUGAUGUGUUUUCUGCAACCCCAUCUUAACCAAAGCAGAAUUUUCCUCCUGGCAACGUACUUAUCUCAUCAGCCAUUGUACCAGUAUUUGUUGGGACCCAGUCUUCAGCUAGCCCAAGUACCCAGGUUGGUAGCCAGCCUCAGCAGGCCCGGUCAUUUGCAAAAGCAAACCAGCAGGUCUCAGACUAGUGCUACUAGAGUUUCAUCCAGUGCUGGGAACUCUGCUUCUAGUCAGUCUCAUAUAUCAUGGCUUAGUUUGACGCAAACUGAUGUUCAGAAGUACACCAAUAUUUUUGUGAAAGUUGACGCAUACAGAUGGGAAGAUCACUGGUGCACAAACCCGCGACCUAUUUCUGAAAUAGGGACGACCAAGAGGUAGUCCUAUUUUCUUUUUAUUCAUCUUUUGGCUUGUGUUUUACAGGCACAGGUGCCAUAUAUGUGCUUAUUGAAGCUCUUUUCUUCAGUUUGUUUCUCUUCAUGUUAGCUGUUAACUGAACUGAUGUAUCUUUGCAAAACUUGUACUAUCCCUAUCCCGGAGUUAAAGUUGUUUAUUUUUCCUCUUC